GCAUAGUCAUAGCUUCCUGGUCCAGCCACAAACAGCUGCUGCAGGUGGAAGAGCGAUGACAGCCUCUGCCAUUCGUGUGAAGCCCCCUCACCCUCAGGUGACCAUUCUAAGGACGCCUACCUAACAGUGUGUGACACCUGUCAGCUUACCAGAAAAACCGUCAGAGGACCGGGCACCCCAGAUGUGGCAGGAGAGCCUGCACAGGAGACAGACAAGUGGCAGGAGUGAAAGGACAGCAACGCUUCAGAAGCAGGUGGUACAGACAACCACGGACGUAUCUAGGGCGGUUCCACAGCCAUCCCAUACUCUAACUCCUUUAAAACACACUGCGGACUGUCAGGAUAGCUCACGAGAGGCAUCUGGACUGUUACCAGCUUCUGGCUAUUACAAAUAAGGCUGCUACAAACUGAGACUGAUACUCCAACCAAGGACUAUGCAUGGAGAUAACCUAAGACCCUACACAGAUGUAGCCCAUGGCAGUUCAGUAUCCAAGUGGGUUCCAUUGUAAUAGGAACAGGAACUGCCUCUGACAUGAACUGAUUGACCUGCUCUUUAAUUACCUCCCCCUGAGAGGGAAGCAACAUUACCAGGCCACAGAAGAAGACAAUGCAGCCACUCCUGAUGAGACCUACUUCACUAGGAUCCCAAGGAAGGAAAAGAAGACCUCCCCUAUCAGUGGACUUGGGGAGGAGCA